AUAUUCACAUUCAACUCACAGAGAAGACAUGAUCCGGAGGAAUUCACUAUUAGAAAAAGAUAUGUACAGCAAAUGGGAUCUGCGCUCCGAUGUAUUAGUCUACAUGAUCAUUCUAUGCUUCAAUGAACGCACCAGCGACCAUCGACCGAGUAUUUACAGUUCAGCGCAUCAACUUUUUCAGCUAAUUUUCACAGAGUCAAGUUCAUCGCCUUAGAACACCAGAAGCCUAUCGGGACCGAGACAAUUCCGGAAUGGACUCAAAAGUGAAUAUCAAUUUAGAUAUACUUAACCUAUACAGCUGGUGCGGUGAAUCAUUCAAGCGGACAAAGAUGAUCUUACCCAGAUUCGAAGUCAUAUUUAACUUAACCUAAUUUCACAGAGUCGAGUUUAUCGUCUCAGGCAUUUCACCAAACACUUAAUGUGCACUCGAUUGAAUGGCACAAUGCAGCAAUGAGAUUGUGAGAACUGAACCGCAGUUAUUAACAUAUUCUCAGACGUGAACAAUUUUCAUGCUAGCAACAACAAAGCUCUCUCGGUUUCUAUUUUACACGCGGAAAUGGAAUGAUGUUUCUGAACUUCCACGCUCCAUGAAAAAUUGGAAAGCUCGAAGGCUCCAAGUUGUCGGAGGUUUGAAGAAAUUCUCCUUGGGUUCAAUAAACUCGAGUUCAUCGACGGAGCGCACAGAUUCGAAGCUCAAGCGCGAGAACAUCGUGAUUUGAAGAGCAACGGAUGUGGC